UACAGGGGUGAGCCACCAUACCUGGGUCUUGUGCUAAUUUAAAACUUACAAGUAUUAUUAAAACUCAAUGAUGGGCCAGGCGCAGUCGCUCAUGCCUGUAAUCCCAGCACUUUGGGAGGCCGAGGCAGGCAGAUUGCUUGAGGUCAGGAGUUUAUGACCAGCCUGGCCAAGAUGGUGAAACCCUGUCUCCAUUAAAAAUACAUAAAUUAGCCAGGUAUGGUGUCGUGGUGUCGCACAUCUGUAAUCCCAGCUACUCGGGAGGCUGAGGCAGGAUAAUCACUUGAAUCCGGGAGGCGGAGGUUGCAGUGACCCAAGAUCCUGCCACUGCACUCCAGCCUAGAAAAAAAAAGAUAAAAACAAAACAAAACAAAAAAACUCAAUGAUGACCAAAAGUUUGUGUUUAAAAUUGAAAACAGUGAGAACUGAAAAGUGUAAUAUUUUUGUUUGCUAAGAGCAAAUUUUAGUAAUCCCAUCACUUUGGAAGGCCGAGGCAGGUGGAUUACCUGAGGUCAGGAGUUUGAGACCAGCCUGGUCAACAUGGUGAAACCCUGUCUCUACUAAAAUACAAAAAAUUAGCCAGGUGUGGUGGCACAUGCCUAUAAUCCCAGCUACUCGGGAGGCUGAGGCAGGAGAAUUGCUUGAACCUGGGAGGUGGAGGUUGCAGUGAGCCAAGAUCGCGCCACUGCACCCCAGCCUGGGCAACAAGAGUAAAACUCAGUCUCAAAAAAAAAAAAAAAAAAGAAAGAGCAAAUUUUAAUUCAAACAUGAAGUGUUUUACCAAAUUUAAAUAAUAUAUUUAAAAGUUAAAGUUAAUGAGCUGGGCGUGGUGGAAGACGCCUGUAAUCCCAGCUACUCGGGAGGACUAAGUAGGAGAAUCACUUGAACCCGGGAGGCAGAGGUUGCAGUGAGCCAAGAUUGCGCCACUGCACUCCAGCCUGGGUGACGAGCAAAACUCCGUCUUGAAAAAAAAAAAGUUAAAGUUAUCCUUUUCAUUUUUUCACUUUUUUAUUUUUAUUUAUUUAUUUUUUUUAGAUGGAGUCUCGCUCUGUCGCCCAUGCUGGAGUGCAGUGGUGCGAUCUCAGCUCACUGCAACCUCCGCCUCUCGAGUUCAAGCGAUUCUCCUGCCUCAGCCUCCUGAAUAGCUGGGACUACAGGUGCCUGCCGCCACACCCGGCUAAUUUUUGUAGUUUUAGUAGAGACAGGAUUUCACCAUGUUGGCCAGGCUGGUCUAGAACUCCUGACCUCAAGUGAUCCACCCGCCUCAGCAUCCUGUCUCUAUGACUUUGACUACUAAUUUGGUAACUCAUGUAGAGUCUCGCACUGUCGCCCAUACUAGAGGGCAGUAGCACGGUCUCGGCUCACUGCAACCUCCGCCUCCCGGGUUCAAGCAAUUCUCCUGCCUCAGCCUCCCGAGUAGCUGGGAUUACAGGUGCUUGCCACCAUGCCCGGCUAAUUUUUUUUGUAUUUUUAAUAGAGACAGGGUUUCACUAUGUUGGCCAGGCUGGUCUCAAGCUCCUGACCUUGUGAUCUGCCUGCCGUGGCCUCCCAAAGUGCUGGGAUUACAGGCAUGAGCUACCACCCCCAGCCUGUGAUUUGCAUUUCUCUAACGAUUAGUGAUACUGAGCAUCUUUUCCUGUGUUUAUGGGCUAUUUGUGUAUCUUUUUUGGAGAAAUGCCUAUUUAAAUUGUCAUUUGCCUGUUUUUUAAUUGGGUUGUUUUUGUGUUGUUGAGUUUCAGGAGUUCUUCAUAUAGUGUGGAUAUUAAUUGCUUAUCAGAUAUGAUUUACAAAUAUUUUCUCCUACACUGUGUGUUGUCUUUUCACUCUUUUUUUUUUUUUUUUUUUUUUUUGAGACAGUCUUGCUCUGUCGCCCAGGCUGGAGUGCAGUGGCACGAUCGCAGCUCACUGCAGGCUCCGCCUCUCAGGUUCAUGCCAUUCUCCAGCCUCAGCCUCCCAAGCAGCUGGGACUACAGGCACCUGCCACCUCACCUGGCUAAUUUUUUGUAUUUUUAGUAGAGACAGAGUUUCACCAUGUUAGCCAGGAUGGUCUCGAUCUCCUGACCUCGUGAUCCACCCGCCUUGGCCUCCCAAAGUGCUGGGAUUACAGGCGUGAGCCACCGUGCCCGGCUGUCUUUUCAUUCUCUUGAUAGUCCUUUUUUUUUUUUUUCUGGAGAUGGGGUCGCACUCUGUCGCCCAUGCUGGAGUACAGUGGUGUGAUCACAGCUCACGUUAGCCUCAACCUCUCAGGCUCAAGUGAUCCUCCUGCCUCAGCCUCCCAAGUAGCUGGGACUACAGGCAUGCACCACCAUGCCUGGCUAAUUUUUGUAUUUUUUGUACAGAUGGUGUUUCACCAUGUUACCCUGGCUUGUCUCGAAUUCCUGGGCUCAAGUGAUCCUCACGCCUCAGCCUCCCAAAGUGUUAGUGAGAGGUGACAGCGUGCUGGCAGUCCUCACAGCCCUCGCUCACUCUCGGCGCCUCCUCUGCCUGGGCUCCCACUUUGGCAGCACUUGAGGAGCCCUUCAGCCCACGGCUGCACUGUGGGAGCCCCUUUCUGGGCUGGCCAAGACCGUGCGCCCGCACUCCUCAGCCCUUGGGUGGUCGAUGGAACUGGGCACCAUGGAACAGGGGGUGGCACUCAUCAGGGAGGCUCGGGCCACACAGGAGCCCACAGAGGGGGUGGGAGGCUCAGGCAUGGUGUGGGACUGGCAGGCAGCUCCACCUGCAGCCCUGGCGCGGGAUUCCUGGGUGAAGCCAGCUGGGCUCCUGAGCCUGGUGGGGACGUGGAGAACCUUUAUGUCUAGCUCAGGGAUUGUAAAUACACCAAUCAGCACCCUGUGUCUAGCUCAGGGUUUGUGAAUGCACCAAUCGACACUCUGUAUAUAGCUAAUCUGGUGGGGCCUUAGAGAACCUUUGUGUGGACACUCUGUAUAUAGCUAAUCUGGUGGGGACUUGGAGAACCUUUGUGUCUAGCUCAGGGAUUGUAAACGCACCAAUCAGCGCCCUGUCAAAACAGACCACUCAGCUCUACCAAUCAGCAGGAUGUGGGUGGGGGCCAGAUAAGACAAUAACAGCAGGCUGCCCCAGCCAUCAGUGGCAACCCGCUGGGGUCCCCUUCCACACUGUGGAAGCUCUGUUCCUUCGGUCUUUGCAAUAAAUCCUGCUACUGCUCACUCUUUGGGUCCACACUGCCUUUAUGAGCUGUAACACUCACCGGGAAGGUCUGCAGCUUCACUCCUGAAGCCAGCGAGACCACGAGCCCACCGGCAGGAACGAACAACUCCAGACGCGCAGCCUUAAGAGCUGUAACACUCACCGCCAAGGUCUGCAGCUUCACUCCUGAGCCAGCGAGACCACGAACCCACCAGAAGGAAGAAACUCCGAACACAUCUGAACAUCAGAAGGAACAAACUCCAGACACGCCACCUUUAAGAACUGUAACACUCACCGUGAGGGUCCACGGCUACAUUCUUGAAGUCAGUGAGACCAAGAACCCACCAAUUCCGGACACGUUAGAAUUACAGGCAUGAGUCACCAUGCCUGGCCUUCCCCUGUUUUCUUCUAAGAGUUUUAUUGUUUUAACUCUUAAGUUUAGGUCUUUGAUCAUUUUGGGUUCAUUUUUGUAUGGCAAUUAAUUUUUAAAAAUUCACUUCUGUGAAAACUUGUUCAAGAGCAGGAUUCAUCCUAGCACUUUGGGAGGCCAAGGCGGGCAGAUCACUUGAGGUCAGGAGUUCGAGACCAGCCUGGCCAACAUGGUGAGACCCAGUCACUACUAAAAAAUACAAAAAUUAGCCAGGCGUGGUGGCACAUACCUAUAAUCCCAGCUACUCUGGAGGCUGAGGCAGGAGAAUCACUUGAACCCCGGAGGCGGAGGUUGCAGUGAGCUGAGAUCACGCCACUGUGCUCCAGACUGCGUGACAGAGUGAGACUCCAUCUCAAAAAAAAGAGAGCAGAAUUCAACCCCUGAGCCACCUGUUUGCCACCUUGGCUUUAGAUGCUUUUUUUUUUUUUUUUUUUUUUGGUCUGAGAUGGAGUCUUGCUCUGUCCCCCAGGCUGGUGUGCAGUGGGGCAAUCUCGGCUCACUGCAGCCUCUGCCUCCUGGGUUCAAGCAAUUUUCCUGCCUCAGCCUCCCAAGUAGCUGGGAUUAUAGGUUCACACCACCAGUCCCGGCUAUUUUUUGUAUUUUUAGUAGAGACUGGGUUUCCACCAUGUUGGCCAGGCUGGUCACAGACUCUUGACCUCAAGUGAUCCACCUGCCUCGGCCACCCAAAGUGUUGGGAUUACAGGUGCGAGCCACCGCACACGGCUAGAUGCUGGUAUUCCUCAGGGUUGAUCAUUUUCUCUUCUUACUCACAGUUCUGAAAUUAAUCACAUCAAUUCUGAGGACUUAAAUUAUUGCCUUGGUGAGAGGCUGUAUGGUGUGGUUAAGAGCAUAGAUCCGGAGCUGGACUACUGGAGUUGGAACCUUAGCUCUGGCACUUAGUUACUGUGUAACUUUGAUUACUGUACACAACUGUUUUUUGGUCUUAUGUUGUCCAAGGCACUGCCUGGGAUUACAGGCAUUAGCCACUGCACCCGACCUGCACACAACCUUUUGUUCCCUCAUCUGUAAAAUGGCAAGAGUGAAGGCACAUACCUCAUAGGGUUGUUGUGAGGAAUCAAUAAGUAAAUGUACAUAAAGAUCCAACAGUAAGUUCUCAAUAAGUGGUAAAUAGCAUUCAUUGUCUUUUUUUUUUUUUUUUUGAGAUGGAGUUUCACUCUUCUUACCCAGGCUGGGGUGCAAUGGCAUGGUCUUGGCUCACUGCAACCUCCACCUCCAGGGUUCAAGCAAUUCUCCUGUCUCAGCCUGCCAGGUAGCUGGGAUUACAGGCAUGCGCCACCAUACCUGGCUAAUUUUUGUAUUUUUAGUAGAGACUGGGUUUCACCACGUUGGCCAGGCUGGUCUCGAACUCCUGACCCACCCGCCUCGGCCUCCCAAGGUGCUGAGAUUACAGGCAUGCGCCACCGCACCCAGCCUCAUUGUCAUCUUUAAGCUGAUGUCAUCUUAGGCUUUCAAGUAAGAAUCCAUCCAGUCCAGGCCAGGCACGGUGGCUCACGCCUAUAAUCCCAGCACUUUGGGAGACUGAGGUGGUGGGGCGGUGGGGGUGGAUCACCUGAGGCCAGGAGUUCGAGACCAGCCUGGCCCACAUGGUGAAAACCUGUCUCUACUAAAAAUACAAAAAAUUAGCCGGGUGUGAUGGCUCAUGCCUGUAAUCCCAGAUACUUCGGAGGCUGAAGCAGGAGAAUCCUUGAAUCCAGGAGGUAGAGGUUGCAGUGAGCCAAGAUCACGCCAUUGCACUCCAUCCUGGGCGACAAGAGCGAAAUUCUGUCUCAAAAAAAAAGAAUCUCUCAGGUCCAGACUUCUUUCCUGAGGUUGACAGCACAUCAACUGGAUGUCUUGCUAGUGUCACCACUCAACAAGUCCAAAACUGACAUCUCUGACAUAUCUGUGACUCCGUCCCCAGUGCCCUCACCCUAACCCAGGCUGCUAUCAUUUCUGCCAUCCUGAAAAGAGAAACAAGGUCUUCAAUCUAGUCUCCGUACAGUAGCCACAAGCCUGUUCAGGACACUCCCCUGCCUAAAUUCCUCCCGGGGCCUUCUCAUUGCUCUUAGAAUAAAAGGCACAUUCUGUCUGGCGGCUUCCUGGGGGCUUCCUCACCCUGUCGCUCUCUUCCUCUCUUCUCUGUAUUCCCACCCUCCUGGACUUGCCUCCUCACCUCCUCUCCGAGCCUCAGGGCCGUUGCACAAGCUGUUCCUUCUGCCUGGAACGCUCUCUCCUGCUGUCCCACUUUAGUUGGCUGAUGACUGUUCAAAUCUUAAAUAUCAUGUUUUCCAGGAGACCUUCUUAAACCCCAGUGUUCUUUACCUACCCUAGCACAACAAACACCUCAUUGUAACUGUUUAUCUAUUAAAUGCGCCUCUGCCAAAAUAUGAGUCAGAAGAACAGGAACAUUUGUUGUGUUCUCCACUGUGUCCUUCCCUAGCCCAGUGCCUGGCAUGCAGUAGGUGCUGUCUGUGUAUAAUACAUAGCUGAUGGAGAGAAAUGCAAGACGUGGGAGCCAGAAUUAUCGCAGGAGUUGGGGAGACUAACAGGGAAGAAGCAUUUUUCUGGUGCAGUGUGAGGCAGGCAGGGAUGUUGCCAAACGUCCCGGAAGCUGGGCAGGAAUCAGGCACUGAGGGCUUUGUAUCCUGAUAGGCUGGGAUGCUUGUUCUUCCUCCUGUGGCAUGGAAAACCACAGAAGGGUUUUCAGUCGGGAGGUAAUAUGACUGCAGGUGAAGCACCAGCCAGCCAGGGUGUGGCAGCAGGUGGGCAAGAUUGGAGACAGGGAGCCAGUUAAGAAGCUGUGGCAGUAAAAAGUGCCUGGAAGGAAACACUGAGAACUGGGGGCUGAGCGCAGUGGCUCACACCUGUAAUUCCAGCAAUUUGGGAGGUUGAGGCGAGAGCAUCGCUUGAGCCCAGGAGUUCGAGACCAGCCUGGGCAACAUAGCUAAUCCCUGUCUCUGCAAAAAAAUCAGGAAAUUAGCCCAGCAUCGUGGCACGCACCUGUAGUCCCAACUACGUAGGAGGCUGAGGUGGGAGGAUCACUUGAACCACUUGAACCCAGGAGGUCGAGGCUGCAGUGAGCCAAGAUCUUGCCACUACACUCCAGCCUGGGGGACAGAGCAAGACCCUUCUCAACAGAAAAAGGGGGGAAAAAAGAGAAACACUCCAAUUCCCCACUUAAAGCUACUGGAAAAUAACCUGGAAGAUAUAUCUGGACAGUGCUGCUGGAUUGCAAACAUCAAAACACAGGUCCCUGUUAUAAAGGAGGAUUUCAGAAAACCAAUAAAUAAUUUUUUAGUAUGUCCCAAAUAUGGCAUUGGACAUACUUACAUUAAACAAUUAUUUAUUGUUUACCUGAAAUUCACCUUGCAUUGGGCAUUCUGUAUUUUAUCUGGCAACUAUACCCACUGACUUUUCUUCUUCUGACUAUACUGCUAGACUCUUCCCCAAAUUUUAUCUUGAAUGAUUUCUUUUCUUUUAUUUAUUUAUUUUUUUUGAGAUGGAGUCUCGCUCUGUCACCAGGCUGGAGUGCAGUAGUAUGAUUUCGACUCACUGCAACCUCCACCUCCUGGAUUCAAUCAAUUCUCCUGGCUCACUCAGCCUUUGGAGUAGCUGGGAUUACAGGCAUGCACCACC
rnacentral:lncRNA from 1 species